rnacentral:rRNA from 1 species
AGUGAACGCUGGCGGUAGGCCUAACACAUGCAAGUCGAACGGCAGCACAGUCAGAGCUUGCUCUUACGGGUGGCGAGUGGCGGACGGGUGAGGAAUACAUCGGAAUCUACUUUUUCGUGGGGGAUAACGUAGGGAAACUUACGCUAAUACCGCAUACGACCUACGGGUGAAAGCAAGGGAUCUUCGGACCUUGCGCGAUUGAAUGAGCCGAUGUCGGAUUAGCUAGUUGGCGGGGUAAAGGCCCACCAAGGCGACGAUCCGUAGCUGGUCUGAGAGGAUGAUCAGCCACACUGGAACUGAGACACGGUCCAGACUCCUACGGGAGGCAGCAGUGGGGAAUAUUGGACAAUGGGCGCAAGCCUGAUCCAGCCAUACCGCGUGGGUGAAGAAGGCCUUCGGGUUGUAAAGCCCUUUUGUUGGGAAAGAAAAGCAGCAGGUUAAUACCCCGCUGUUCUGACGGUACCCAAAGAAUAAGCACCGGCUAACUUCGUG